AAUAUUCCACAAUGGGCGAAAGCCUGAUGCAGCAACGCCGCGUGAGGGAUGAAUGCCUUCGGGUUNUCAACCUCUUUUAGUAGGGANGAAGCGAAAGUGACGGUACCUGCAGAAAAAGCACCGGCUAACUACGUGCCGGCAGCCGCGGUAAUACGUAGGGUGCAAGCGUUGUCCGGAAUUAUUGGGCGUAAAGCGCUCGUAGGCGGUUUGUCGCGUCAGCUGUGAAAUCCCGAGGCUCAACCUAGGGCGUGCGGUGGGUACGGGCAGGCUAGAGUGCGGUAGGGGAGAUUGGAAUUCCUGGUGUAGCGGUGGAAUGCGCAGAUAUCAGGAGGAACACCGAUGGCGAAGGCAGAUCUCUGGGCCGCUACUGACGCUGAGGAGCGAAAGCAUGGGGAGCGAAC
rnacentral:rRNA from 1 species